ACGACGAGGACCGGCACGACGACGACGACGACGAGGACGAGCGGAGCCUGCGGACGGCCCUCAAGAAGCUGCGGCUGGACGCGGCGCGGCGGCACGAGGACGAGGAGGAGCAGCAGCAGCAGCAGCAGGACGACGACGAGGACGAGGACGACGAGGACGAGGAGGAGCGCAGCCUGCGGACGGCCCUCCAGGAGCUGCGGGUGGACGCGGCGCGGUGUGAGAGGACUGCAGGAGGACCGGCCGGUCUCUCACGGCACGGACGUUCCAGGUCUCCUGUCCUGUAUCCUCCCACGUUUACGCACUGCGGCACAAAACACAAAACCCGGUCACACACACCAAAGACUCACGUCCGUUCCAGUGUUUGUGCUACAGCAGAACACGGCACAGAGGACAGACACAGUCCUCACUUUGAGGCCAGCCAUGGCAGAAGAGCCACAGCUGAACCUCUGCUGAACCACCGCUGCGGGGCCUGUGGGGAAGUCACGGGAGAACUGCCUCGCUCUGCCCUCAUCGUCUCACUCUGACUCACACAACAGCCAAACCUCACUUUUCCUUUCCUUAUCCACGCUUCACAGAUCCAUCUGUGAAACAGCCCUGUGCAGCCCUCCCGCAUCCCGUUCUGUGGAGGCUCACGCUUAUGUCAGUGACGUGACUGUGGAAGACCUGGCAGGGUACCUGGAACACCAUCUGCAUAUACCAAAGAAAAUGUCUGCCAUGGCAGAAAUGAUGUAUUCAUAACCAAACAGCAAAAACAGUCACAGUCCUAAGCGUUAUCAGAAAUUUAAAUGGCUCGUUUGUGCCAUAUUUGUAAUGUUCUGUUUCAUGUACAGUUUAGUUUUGUAAUUAAGAGAAAAACUGUACAUAGUUGCAUAGACUCCUGUGGCUGAAAUGAUGUAUACUUAACUGAAAGCCAUAUUCAGUCACAUAGUAAUACAGUUUAUUUUUGUAACUCGAAUAAAAACUGUAUAUAGUCUCAUAGAUU
ensembl:lncRNA